AGCUCAACCACGCAAAUAAGCAGCAAUUUUCCCCUCGUUCCAGGUUCCACCUUCUCCUCCCGGAGGGAAACCCUAUCUAUCCGAUCUAAUUUUCUUUCGCCCGUGUGGCGGCGGUGGUAGAUCGGAGGCAACCAAGCGCGACGACGGCUGCAGGAGCAGCUGCUCUCUCCUCCCUCUCCCGUAGGGUUCCUUGAGGGUGCCCCGCUGCGGAAGCUGCCUGUGGCGUCGGGGCCCUCCAUGGCGCGCAGCGGCGGACCCAGCCUGCGCCGCGGCCGGACCAGCCUGGUCGCGCGGUGGUGGCACAACUUGUGGACUGAAAUCUCACUUUGUGGUGCCACUCAUCCAUAAACUUGUCAAUUCCAUUGGAGAAAAUGAUGGUGAGGAUGAGUCUUGGUGAUGUGGGUACUGGCUAUGGCUUCCUUGUGCGGAACCUCAUGUUAGGCUACUACACCAGGCUCAUCGCUUUCGUCAGGGACUACCGCCAUAGAAUUGACAUGGAGCACAGACCAUAGAAGUAGGCCAGAGUUCUGCUGGAGGACCGUCAAGCUCGACCAGCAACCUGGGUUAACAUGUGUUGAUUUGUAAUUCAUCUUUCAAGAAGUUGAUAUGGACAAAGGAGGAUUAUACCAACUCUAGUUGCCUUCAAGAAGUCACGAGAAGAGGCAUCCAACAAAAGUUUCGAGUUUUGAGGAAGGCGGUAGCUAAGAGUCAGACCCACACAGUCUCUAUUGAUGACCUCUAAAAUUAAAAAAAAGUUGUUUUAUUGGAUGACUAUGUAGCUUGGGUUAUUUUGGAUGGAGCAUGUAAGUGUAAUGUGUAAUAUGCACGCUGUAUAGAGACUAGUUGGCUUGUAAUAUGAUGUGAAAAUUGGUCAA